rnacentral:rRNA from 1 species
ACGGAGGGUGCUAGCGUUGUUCGGAAUCACUGGGCGUAAAGGGCUCGUAGGCGGCCAACUAAGUCAGACGUGAAAUCCCUCGGCUUAACCGGGGAACUGCGUCUGAUACUGGAUGGCUCGAGAUUGGGAGAGGGAUGCGGAAUUCCAGGUGUAGCGGUGAAAUGCGUAGAUAUCUGGAGGAACACCGGUGGCGAAGGCGGCAUCCUGACCAACACUGACGCUGAGGAGCGAAAGCCAGGGGAGCAAACGGGA